rnacentral:sRNA from 1 species
GCUGGGUGUGAUGGCGCAUAUCUGUAAUCCCAGUGGCUCGGAGACUGAGACAGGAGGAUCACGAGUUCAAAGCCAGCCUCAGCAAAAGUGAGGCUCUAAGCAACUCUGUGAGACCCUGUCUCUA